rnacentral:rRNA from 1 species
GAUGAACGCUGGCGGCGUGCCUAAUACAUGCAAGUCGAGCGAAUGGAUUAAGAGCUUGCUCUUAUGAAGUUAGCGGCGGACGGGUGAGUAACACGUGGGUAACCUGCCCAUAAGACUGGGAUAACUCCGGGAAACCGGGGCUAAUACCGGAUAACAUUUUGAACCGCAUGGUUCGAAAUUGAAAGGCGGCUUCGGCUGUCACUUAUGGAUGGACCCGCGUCGCAUUAGCUAGUUGGUGAGGUAACGGCUCACCAAGGCAACGAUGCGUAGCCGCCCUGGGAGGGGGAUCGGCCACAAUGGGACUGAGACACGGCCCAGACUCCGACGGGAGGCAGCAGUAGGGAAUCUUCCGCAAUGGACGAAAGUCUGACGGAGCAACGCCGAGUGAGUGAUGAAGGCUUUCGGGUCGUAAAACUCUGUUGUUAGGGAAGAACAAGUGCUAGUUGAAUAAGCUGGCACCUUGACGGUACCUAACCAGAAAGCCACGGCUAACUACGUGCCAGCAGCCGCGGUAA